GUGGGGAAUCUUCCGCAAUGGGGGAAACCCUGACGCAGCGACGCCGCGUGAGCGAAGAAGGCCUUAGGGUUGUAAAGCUCUGUUUUAAGGGACGAAUGUCGUGGGGAGUAAUAUGCUCUGCGAAUGACGGUACCUUAAGAGGAAGCCCCGGCUAACUACGUGCCAGCAGCCGCGGUAAGACGUAGGGGGCGAGCGUUGUCCGGAAUUACUGGGCGUAAAGAGCACGUAGGCGGGAACUUAAGUCAGGUGUGAAAGACCGGGGCUCAACUCCGGGGUUGCACUUGAAACUGGGUUUCUUGAGGGCAGGAGAGGAAAGCAGAAUUCCUGGUGUAGCGGUGAAAUGCGUAGAAAUCAGGAGGAAUACCAGUGGCGAAGGCGGCUUUCUGGACUGACCCUGACGCUGAGGUGCGAAAGCGUGGGUAGCAAACAGGAUUAGAAACCCCGGUAGUCC
rnacentral:rRNA from 1 species